rnacentral:tRNA from 1 species
GCACCAUUAGUAUAGUGGCAGUAUACAGCCUUGCCAAGGCUGUGACCCGGGUCCGAAUCCCGGAUGGUGCA